AAUUUUUAUGGAGAGUUUGAUCCUGGCUCAGGAUGAACGCUGGAGGCGUGCCUAAUACAUGCAAGUCG
rnacentral:rRNA from 1 species